GUCCUGUCACUUGAGGGUCCUGUCACUGUGGGGGUUCCUGUCACCGUGGGGGGGUCCUGUCACUUGAGGGUCCUGUCACUGUGGGGGCUCCUGUCACUGUGGUGGUUCCUGUCACCGUGGGGGGGUCCUGUGACUUGAGGGUCCUGUCACCGUGGGGGUCCUGUCAGCGGGGGCCCUUGGCAGUCACGCUGGAGGCGCGAGCAUUUUGUCCUCGUUGGAGGAGCCCGUGUCCAGCUCCCGGGCCCCGUGGGUCCCGCGCAGCCCUACCGGGUGGCGCCCCAAGGGCCGGCCCUCCGCACCGACGUCCUUUCGCUGCAGCGGUGGUGCGCGCGCCGCGCUCUCCCCCGUGGCUGGCUCUCGGCUGCAGCGUGGCGGGCGCGCGGAGGCGGCCUGCUCCCCACACUGACCCACGGCCGCUGCGGCGUCGGGGCCCCAUGGCGCGGGGCCUCGGGGACCGAGGGGCACGUCCUUCGGAGGCGGGGCUG
rnacentral:lncRNA from 1 species